rnacentral:rRNA from 1 species
AUUGAACGCUGGCGGCAGGCCUAACACAUGCAAGUCGAACGAGUGGCGGACGGGUGAGUAAUGUCUGGGAACCUCCCUGCUGGAGGGGGAUAACUACCGGAAACGGUAGCUAAUACCGCAUACCCUCAGAUGUGCCCAGAUGGGUUUCGCUUGUUGGUGGGGUAACGGCACACCAACGCGACGAUCCCUAGCUGGUAUGAGAGGAUGACCAGGCACACUGGAACUGAGACACGGUCCAGACUCCUACGGGAGGCAGCGGAGGGGAAUGUUGCACAAUGGGCGCAAGCCUGAUGCGGCCAAGCCGCGUGGAUGAAGAAGGGCUGCGUGUUGUAAAGUACAUUCAGCGGGGAGGCGUUACCCGAUGAAGAAGCACCGGCUAACUCCGUGCCAGCAGCCGCGGUAAUUC